rnacentral:rRNA from 1 species
CGUAACGCGUAUGCAACCUGCCCUUUACUGGAGAAUAGCCCAGAGAAAUUUGGAUUAAUACUCCAUAGUAUUACAGAUUCGCAUGUUUCUGUAAUUAAAGUUCCAACGGUAAAGGAUGGGCAUGCGUGACAUUAGUUUGUUGGUGAGGUAACGGCUCACCAAGACUACGAUGUCUAGGGGUUCUGAGAGGAUGAUCCCCCACACUGGUACUGAGACACGGACCAGACUCC